UACGUAGGGUGCGAGCGUUGUCCGGAAUUAUUGGGCGUAAAGAGCUCGUAGGCGGUGUGUCACGUCGGCCGUGAAAACCUGCAGCUUAACUGUGGGCGUGCGGUCGAUACGGGCAUCACUGGAGUUCGGCAGGGGAGACUGGAAUUCCUGGUGUAGCGGUGAAAUGCGCAGAUAUCAGGAGGAACACCGGUGGCGAAGGCGGGUCUCUGGGCCGAUACUGACGCUGAGGAGCGAGAGCGUGGGGAGCAAACAGG
rnacentral:rRNA from 1 species